rnacentral:rRNA from 1 species
CAUAUCAAUAAGCGGAGGAAAAGAAACCAACAGGGAUUGCCUCAGUAACGGCGAGUGAAGCGGCAAAAGCUCAAAUUUGAAAUCUGGUAGUUUUUAACUGCUCGAGUUGUAAUUUGAAGAGCUUAACCUUGGGCACAGGCUCUGUCUAUGUUUCUUGGAACAGGACGUCACAGAGGGUGAGAAUCCCGUGAGGUGGGGCUAUUGUGUUCUUGUAGGUUUUGUUCGACGAGUCGAGUUGUUUGGGAAUGCAGCUCUAAGUGGGUGGUAAAUUCCAUCUAAAGCUAAAUAUUGGCGAGAGACCGAUAGCGAACAAGUACAGUGAUGGAAAGAUGAAAAGAACUUUGAAAAGAGAGUGAAAAAGUACGUGAAAUUGUUGAAAGGGAAGGGCAUUAGAUGAGACUUGGUAAUUCAGGCACAUCCUCCUCUUGUAGGGGGUGCACUCCUGAUAUUACUGGGCCAGCAUCGAUUCGCGCGGUGGGAUAAUGCUUCUUGAAUGUGGCUACAUUUUUUGUGUAGUGUUAUAGCUUGGAGAGAUACUGCCAGUGUGGAUCGAGGCUUGCGUCUUUUUAGACUAGGAUGCUGGCGUAAUGAUC